rnacentral:rRNA from 1 species
AUGACAAGUCGAGCGGUAGCACAGAAGAGCUUGCUCUCGGGUGACGAGCGGCGGACGGGUGAGUAAUGUCUGGGAAACUGCCUGAUGGAGGGGGAUAACUACUGGAAACGGUAGCUAAUACCGCAUAAUGUCGCAAGACCAAAGUGGGGGACCUUCGGGCCUCAUGCCAUCAGAUGUGCCCAGAUGGGAUUAGCUAGUAGGUGGGGUAACGGCUCACCUAGGCGACGAUCCCUAGCUGGUCUGAGAGGAUGACCAGCCACACUGGAACUGAGACACGGUCCAGACUCCUACGGGAGGCAGCAGUGGGGAAUAUUGCACAAUGGGCGCAAGCCUGAUGCAGCCAUGCCGCGUGUGUGAAGAAGGCCUUCGGGUUGUAAAGCACUUUCAGCGGGGAGGAAGGCGUUAAGGUUAAUAACCUUGUCGAUUGACGUUACCCGCAGAAGAAGCACCGGCUAACUCCGUGCCAGCAGCCGCGGUAAUACGGAGGGUGCAAGCGUUAAUCGGAAUUACUGGGCGUAAAGCGCACGCAGGCGGUCUGUCAAGUCGGAUGUGAAAUCCCCGGGCUCAACCUGGGAACUGCAUUCGAAACUGGCAGGCUAGAGUCUUGUAGAGGGGGGUAGAAUUCCAGGUGUAGCGGUGAAAUGCGUAGAGAUCUGGAGGAAUACCGGUGGCGAAGGCGGCCCCCUGGACAAAGACUGACGCUCAGGUGCGAAAGCGUGGGGAGCAAACAGGAUUAGAUACCCUGGUAGUCCACGCCGUAAACGAUGUCGAUUUGGAGGUUGUGCCCUUGAGGCGUGGCUUCCGGAGCUAACGCGUUAAAUCGACCGCCUGGGGAGUACGGCCGCAAGGUUAAAACUCAAAUGAAUUGACGGGGGCCCGCACAAGCGGUGGAGCAUGUGGUUUAAUUCGAUGCAACGCGAAGAACCUUACCUGGUCUUGACAUCCACAGAACUUUCCAGAGAUGGAUUGGUGCCUUCGGGAACUGUGAGACAGGUGCUGCAUGGCUGUCGUCAGCUCGUGUUGUGAAAUGUUGGGUUAAGUCCCGCAACGAGCGCAACCCUUAUCCUUUGUUGCCAGCGGUUAGGCCGGGAACUCAAAGGAGACUGCCAGUGAUAAACUGGAGGAAGGUGGGGAUGACGUCAAGUCAUCAUGGCCCUUACGACCAGGGCUACACACGUGCUACAAUGGCAUAUACAAAGAGAAGCGACCUCGCGAGAGCAAGCGGACCUCAUAAAGUAUGUCGUAGUCCGGAUUGGAGUCUGCAACUCGACUCCAUGAAGUCGGAAUCGCUAGUAAUCGUAGAUCAGAAUGCUACGGUGAAUACGUUCCCGGGCCUUGUACACACCGCCCGUCACACCAUGGGAGUGGGUUGCAAAAGAAGUAGGUAGCUUAACCUUCGGGAGGGCGC